GGGCUCUUCAUCCAUCUCCAGGAC
rnacentral:siRNA from 1 species